AAGCUCGUAGUUGAAUUUCGGGAUCAAAUUGUCGGUCGUGCCUCGGUACGUACUGGCGUUAUUGGUUCCUCCCUUCUGAAGAACCACGAUGUCAUUAAUUUGGUGUCGCGGGAAAUCAGGACUGUUACUUUGAAAAAAUUAGAGUGUUUAAAGCAGGCUCGUGCUUGAAUACAUUAGCAUGGAAUAAUGAAAUAGGACGUUUGAUUCUAUUUUGUUGGUUUCUAGGAUCGACGUAAUGAUUAAUAGGGAUAGUUGGGGGCAUUAGUAUUCAAUUGUCAGAGGUGAAAUUCUUGGAUUUAUUGAAGACUAACUACUGCGAAAGCAUUUGCCAAGGAUGUUUUCAUUAAUCAAGAACGAAAGUUAGGGGAUCGAAGACGAUCAGAUACCGUCGUAGUCUUAACCAUAAACUAUGCCGACUAGGGAUCGGAUGAUGUUAAUUUUUUAAUGACUCAUUCGGCGCCUUACGGGAAACCAAAGUGUUUGGGUUCCGGGGGGAGUAUGGUCGCAAGGCUGAAACUUAAAGGAAUUGACGGAAGGGCACCACCAGGGGUGGAGCCUGCGGCUUAAUUUGACUCAACACGGGGAAACUCACCAGGUCCAGACAUAGUAAGGAUUGACAGAUUGAGAGCUCUUUCUUGAUUCUAUGGGUG
rnacentral:rRNA from 1 species